GACAGAGGUGCCGAGCGUUAGGCGGAAUCACUGGGCUUAAAGCGUGUGUAGGCGGAUCGUUAAGUACCUUGUGAAAUCCCCCGGCUCAACCGGGGAACUGCUGGGUAUACUGGCGAUCUUGAGCGAUCUAGGGGCAGAUGGAACAAGUGGUGGAGCGGUGAAAUGCGUAGAUAUCGCUUGGAACGCCAAAGGUGAAAACAGUCUGCUGGGGAUCUGCUGACGCUGAGACACGAAAGCCAGGGGAGCGAACGGG
rnacentral:rRNA from 1 species